AGUGAACGCUGGCGGUAUGCCUAACACAUGCAAGUCGAACGGCAGCACAGUAAGAGCUUGCUCUUACGGGAGGCGGGAGGCGGACGGGGGGGGAAUACAUCGAAAUCUACUUUUUCGUGGGGGAUAACGGAGGGAAACUUACGCUAAUACCGCAUACGACCGACGGGUGAAAGCAGGGGAUCUUCUGACCUUGCGCGAUUGAAUGAGCCGGUGAGGGAUUGGCUAGGUGGCGGGGUAAAGGCCCACCAAGGCGAGGAUCCGUAGCCCGUAAGAGAGGAUGGUCCGGCAGCCUGGCACUGAGACCCGGUCCAGACUCCUACGGGGGGCCACAGUGCAGACUAUUGGACAAUGCAGGCAAGCCUGAUACAGCCAUACCGAGUGGGUGCAGAAGGCCUUCCGGUUGUAAAGCCCUUUUGUUGGGAAAUAAAAGCAGCACGUUAAUACCCCGCUGUUCUGACGGUACCCAAAGAAUAAGCCCCGGCUAACUUCGUG
rnacentral:rRNA from 1 species